GACGAACGCUGGCGGCGUGCCUAAUACAUGCAAGUAGAACGCAGUUGCGAACGGGUGAGUAACGCGUAGGUAACUGCCUAAUAGCGGGGGAUAACUAUUGGAAACGAUAGCUAAUACCGCAUACUGUGAGAUGGACCUGCGUUGUAUUAGCUAGUUGGUGAGGUAAAGGAUCAACAAGGCGACGAUACAUAGCCGACCAGAUAGGUGGAUCGGCGACACUGGGACUGGGGCAUGGGCCAGACUCCUUCGGGGGGCGGCAGUAGGGGAUCUUGGGCAAGGGACGGAAGUCUGACCGAGCGACGCCCGGGGAGUGAAGAAGGUUUUCGGUUCGUAUAGCUAUGUUGUUUGAGAAGCGGUAGCUAUCCAUAAAGGGACGGCUAACUACGUUCCAGCAGCCGCGGUAAUAC
rnacentral:rRNA from 1 species